GACGAACGCUGGCGGCGUGCCUAAUACAUGCAAGUCGAGCGGACCAAAGGGAGCUUGCUCCUGGAGGUUAGCGGCGAACGGGUGAGUAACACGUGGGCAACCUGCCUGUAAGACUGGGAUAACAUCGAGAAAUCGGUGCUAAUACCGGAUAAUAAAAAGAACUGCAUGGUUCUUUUUUGAAAGAUGGUUUCGGCUAUCACUUACAGAUGGGCCCGCGGCGCAUUAGCUAGUUGGUGAGGUAACGGCUCACCAAGGCAACGAUGCGUAGCCGACCUGAGAGGGUGAUCGGCCACACUGGGACUGAGACACGGCCCAGACUCCUACGGGAGGCAGCAGUAGGGAAUCUUCCGCAAUGGACGAAAGUACUGACGGAGCAACGCCGCGUGAGUGAUGAAGGUUUUCGGAUCGUAAAACUCUGUUGUUAGGGAAGAACAAGUGCCGUUCGAAAGGGCGGCACCUUGACGGUACCUAACGAGAAAGCCACGGCUAACUACGUGCCAGCAGCCGACGG
rnacentral:rRNA from 1 species